rnacentral:rRNA from 1 species
AUGGAGUGCCUUGAUUGCAAGAACCCGUAUGCUGUGUGUAGAGAUGUCGAGGGACCAAGUUGCCACAUAUCUGUUCCAAUGACAACUUUCUAUUGGUUUGAAUCUGUAAGACCGAGUCAUCACGAUGUUGCUCUACUGCUUUUCAACCUUGACAAACUGCCAUGCUUUUGGUCCCAUCAUUUGCGGUUUGUUCCAUGCUGCAACAGGCAAGUUCUUGGAGCAUAUAUUGAACAUAUGCAAUCCGUUGCGACCAAAGAAAAUAAGCCUGUGGGUAACCCAAUUUUCGCAACAAGAGAACUACUGGAGUAUGAAGUUAUGAUCGACCAUGGAGAUAAAAGGACCAGAAUUCAUGAAAUCGGUUGGCAAAGGUUUCUUGAUGAGUAUGCAGUGCGGCUUGGUGACAUGGUAUAUAUCUGCCUCCCUCGUGGUAAUGGGAGAUUUUUUGUGGAGGUUGAGAGGGGUGGUAUAAGGCAACUCCCACUUCCUUGUUCCCAUGUAACGGCUUCUUUCAAAAAGGCAAACGAUGGCAGACUUCCAUACACGGACAACUUGAUUUGGAGGAAGACGAUCUUGUGGUUAUCACAAUUCACAGGCACUGGGUCUCCCUCCACAACAGUCCGGAUCUGCAUCCUAUCUUAA